UCUGGGCUUGAAGAAAAAGAGUAUAAAUGAAAAAGGGUGACAAAGUGCAGCCAUGGAGCUCACUAGACACUGAUGAUAGUGAACUAUACAACUUGUGGAUGGAGAUGGGAGGGAGGGACUGGGCGAGAGUGAGGGA